UACGGAGGGUGCAAGCGUUAAUCGGAUUUAUUGGGCGUAAAGAGCGCGUAGACGGAGAUGCAAGUCAGAUGUGAAAUCCCGAAGCUCAACUUCGGAACUGCAUUUGAAACUGCAUCCCUAGAGGUUAGACGGAGAAGACGGAAUUCCACAUGUAGCGGUGAAAUGCGUAGAUAUGUGGAAGAACACCGGUGGCGAAGGCGGUCUUCUAGUUUAAACCUGACGUUCAGGCGCGAAAGCAAGGGGAGCAAACAGG
rnacentral:rRNA from 1 species